AUUGAACGCUGGCGGCAGGCCUAACACAUGCAAGUCGAGCGAGCGGCGGACGGGUGAGUAAUGUCCGGGAAACUGCCUGAUGGAGGGGGAUAACUACUGGAAACGGUAGCUAAUACCGCAUCCCAUCAGAUGUGCCAUGAUGGGAUGAGCUAGUAGGUGGGGUAACGGCUCACCUAGGCGACGAUCCCUAGCUGGUCUGAGAGGAUGACAAGCAAAACUGGAACAGAGCGACGUUCCAGACUCGUCCGGGAUGCAGCAGUGGGAAAGAUUUGACAAUGGGCGCAAGCCUGAUCAAGCCAUGCCGCGUGUGUGAAGAAGGCCUUCGGGUUGUAAAGCACUUUCAGCGGGGAGGCGUUACCCGCAGAAGAAGCAACGGCUAACUCCGUGCCAGCAGCCGCGUUAAUUC
rnacentral:rRNA from 1 species